CUUCCCGAGCGGCGACGCGGCUUUGUGGACUACCCGAGGCCCUGGGGAGGGUGGCCUUUAGAUGAGCCUGUCUCCUGGAAUGCUUGGGCGGUGGCUGAGACGCUUUGCGAUGGAUCCCCCCGCCCCAAAUGUUUCCAGCAGAUAAGCACGUUCCUAGGACACAAGUUCCUUGGAUUUCAGAUGUUGAGAGGCAAGAGCAAAGGGUUCUACCGGAUGAUUAAGACAAAUCAGAUUCCUGUCCUGGAAGUCAUAGGCGCUUAUUCAUCCACACAGAUCUGCAGAUUUCGGUACCUACUUCUCCAGAAUCUACUUUGCUCAUGAAAGGUACAUGCAGUGGAGUAAUUACAAGACAUCAUUGCCUGAGUCUUCCUAUUGCCCACGGGGGCCCUAACCUGAAGGUGUGGGGUUCGAGGUGGUGCCCUGACAGGUUGUGUCAGCCUGUGGUGACUGACGCUGGAUGCACAUAAGUACUGGAGGAAAAGCUUCUUCCCUAGAUACCUCUCUUAGAACAGUGCCUUGAACCUAACAGUUGUGCAGUCACCUUUUGUGAAUGAAGAAGCAGAUGAAUGCAUGAACACACACCCAGGACAAGCUUUAUGGUCCACUCAGGAUCUCACUAUGCAGUUCAGGCUAGCAUUGAAGUCACUAUGUAUCCUAGACUGAUCUCAAACUCGAGGUGAUCUUCCUGCCUCAGCUUCCCUAGUGCUGGGACUACAGAUGGAGAAUUUUGGUGGGUCAAGAGCCCCAAACUCACAAAAAAAAUAACUGGAUCUAAAACAUGAGAGCAUAUUGAGCACCUACUCUUCAUGAGCACCUACUCUUUACUCAAGAUUCAACCUGCCGCCUGGAGUGGACCAGCUGCCAUCUUGAAUCAUGAAGCUGGGACCUUGGACAGCAGAGCAAGAAGACAGAAGAGACCUGGAUCUCUGGUUAUGGAGAACCAGACAGUCCUGGAUCUUAUACGUGGAUACAUAUAUACAUUAACUUUUGUACUUUUAAAGACACUGUGAUUUAGGUUUUUUUCCUGGUAUUUAUAAACUGAAUCUAAGCAUGCAGAGGAGAAUCUAAGAUGCAGAG
rnacentral:lncRNA from 1 species